rnacentral:rRNA from 1 species
AUACGGAGGGUGCAAGCGUUACUCGGAAUCACUGGGCGUAAAGCGCGCGCAGGCGGAUUGGCAAGUUGGAUGUGAAAGCCUGCGGCUCAACCGCAGAACUGCAUCCAAAACUGUCAGUCUAGAGUCUGGGAGAGGUAGCUGGAAUUAGUGGUGUAGGGGUAAAAUCCGUAGAGAUCACUAGGAAUACCGAAAGCGAAGGCGAGCUACUGGAACAGUACUGACGCUGAGGCGCGAAAGCGUGGGGAGCAAACAGGAUUAGAAACCCCAGUAGUCC